rnacentral:rRNA from 1 species
GAGUGGCGGACGGGUGAGUAAUGUCUGGGAAACUGCCUGAUGGAGGGGGAUAACUACUGGAAACGGUAGCUAAUACCGCAUAACGUCGCAAGACCAAAGAGGGGGACCUUCGGGCCUCUUGCCAUCGGAUGUGCCCAGAUGGGAUUAGCUUGUUGGUGGGGUAACGGCUCACCAAGGCGACGAUCCCUAGCUGGUCUGAGAGGAUGACCAGCCACACUGGAACUGAGACACGGUCCAGACUCCUACGGGAGGCAGCAGUGGGGAAUAUUGCACAAUGGGCGCAAGCCUGAUGCAGCCAUGCCGCGUGUAUGAAGAAGGCCUUCGGGUUGUAAAGUACUUUCAGCGGGGAGGAAGGGAGUAAAGUUAAUACCUUUGCUCAUUGACGUUACCCGCAGAAGAAGCACCGGCUAACUCCGUGCCAGCAGCCGCGGUAAUACGGAGGGUGCAAGCGCUAAUCGGAAUUACUGGGCGUAAAGCGCACGCAGGCGGUUUGUUAAGUCAGAUGUGAAAUCCCCGGGCUCAACCUGGGAACUGCAUCUGAUACUGGCAAGCUUGAGUCUCGUAGAGGGGGGUAGAAUUCCAGGUGUAGCGGUGAAAUGCGUAGAGAUCUGGAGGAAUACCGGUGGCGAAGGCGGCCCCCUGGACGAAGACUGACGCUCAGGUGCGAAAGCGUGGGGAGCAAACAGGAUUAGAUACCCUGGUAGUCCACGCCGUAAACGAUGUCGACUUGGAGGUUGUGCCCUUGAGGCGUGGCU